rnacentral:rRNA from 1 species
GACGAACGCUGGCGGCGUGCUUAACACAUGCAAGUCGAACGGAGAUUAUUAAUGAAGCUUGCGAUUUAAUAAUCUUAGUGGCGGACGGGUGAGUAACGCGUGGGCAACCUACCCAUAAGCGGGGGAUAACAGUUGGAAACGACUGCUAAUACCGCAUAAGCUAUUGAGGUCGCAUGACCUAAAUAGUAAAGGUGGCGAAAGCUAUCACUUAUGGAUGGGCCCGCGUCUGAUUAGCUAGUUGGUGGGAUAGCAGCCUACCAAGGCAACGAUCAGUAGCCGGCCUGAGAGGGUGGACGGCCACACUGGGACUGAGACACGGCCCAGACUCCUACGGGAGGCAGCAGUGGGGAAUAUUGCGCAAUGGGGGAAACCCUGACGCAGCGACGCCGCGUGAGCGAAGAAGGCCUUAGGGUCGUAAAGCUCUGUUGUAAGGGACGAAUGUUUGUCUGGCGAACAGUCAGAUAAAGUGACGGUACCUUACCAGCAAGCCCCGGCUAACUA